rnacentral:rRNA from 1 species
ACGGAGGGUGCAAGCGUUAAUCGGAAUUACUGGGCGUAAAGCGCACGUAGGUGGUUUUGUAAGCUGGAUGUGAAAGCCCCGGGCUUAACCUGGGAACUGCAUCCAGAACUGUAAGACUUGAGUAGAGUAGAGGGUGGUGGAAUUUCCGGUGUAGCGGUGAAAUGCGUAGAGAUCGGAAGGAACAUCAGUGGCGAAGGCGACCACCUGGACUCAUACUGACACUGAGGAGCGAAAGCGUGGGGAGCAAACAGG